rnacentral:rRNA from 1 species
UACGGAGGGUGCUAGCGUUGUUCGGAAUUACGUGGGCGUAAAGGGCGCGUAGGCGGCCGUUUGCGUCGGAUGUGAAAGCCCGGGGCUCAACCUCGGAACGGCAUUCGAUACGGGACGGCUGGAGACCGGGAGAGGAGAGUGGAAUAGCCAGUGUAGAAGGUGAAAUUCGUAGAUAUUGGCUGGAACACCGGUGGCGAAAGCGGCUCUCUGGCCCGGUUCGUGACGCUGAGGCGACGAAAGGCGUGGGGAGCAAACAGG